rnacentral:rRNA from 1 species
AUUGAGAGCUUGCUCUCAAGAANUUAGCGNCNNNNNNNNNNGUAACACGUGGGUAACCUGCCCAUAAGACUGGGNNNNNNNNNGGAAACCGGGGCUAAUACCGGAUAACAUUUUGAACUGCAUGGUUCGAAAUUGAAAGGCGGCUUCNNNNNNNNNNUAUGGAUGGACCCGCGUCGCAUUAGCUAGUUGGUGAGGUAACGGCUCACCAAGGCAACGAUGCGUAGCCGACCUGAGAGGGUGAUCGGCCACACUGGGACUGAGACACGGCCCAGACUCCUACGGGAGGCAGCAGUAGGGAAUCUUCCGCAAUGGACGAAAGUCUGACGGAGCAACGCCGCGUGAGUGAUGAAGGCUUUCGGGUCGUAAAACUCUGUUGUUAGGGAAGAACAAGUGCUAGUUGAAUAAGCUGGCACCUUGACGGUACCUAACCAGAAAGNCACGGCUAACUACGUGCCAGCAGCCGCGGUAAUACGUAGGUGGCAAGCGUUAUCCGGAAUUAUUGGGCGUAAAGCGCGCGCAGGUGGUUUCUUAAGNCUGAUGUGAAAGCCCACGGCUCAACCGUGGAGGGUCAUUGGAAACUGGGAGACUUGAGUGCAGAAGAGGAAAGUGGAAUUCCAUGUGUAGCGGUGAAAUGCGUAGAGAUAUGGAGGAACACCAGUGGCGAAGGCGANUUUCUGGUCUGUAACUGACACUGAGGCGCGAAAGCGUGGGGAGCAAACAGGAU